UUUUUGGUGUUGUGGUUUGCAGGAGCUCUGAGAUACCAAGUGGUUGCGGUUGGAGGUUUUCUUCCUUCCUUGUUGGACUACUGAGGUUUUCUCUCCUUUUAGUUGGGUUGCGAAGUGCGAAACUCCGCAUUCAGUAUUUUUUUCUUCCUCUUUGUUGCAGUGUUGCAAUGAUUGUUCUUCCCUUCUUCGCUGUGGUGCGACGAAGCUCCAUGCAUUCUAGCAAGUGGCAACUAGGCAUUAUUUUGAUUGUUUUCUCUGUUGAAGGGUUGCAGUGGCAUCAUAUCGAUUGGGCUCAACUUCGUGCAGUGGUACCAUUGAAUAUCAUAUUAUGCUAUUGAUUUUGUCUUGUGGUGUGGAAUCAAUCGAUCCUCAUAUGGUUACGGCAAUUAUUAAGAGAAACUCUUUGCGGUGGUACAGUGUGGUUUUGAGAGUGCAGCUUGUGUCGGGCCCUUGCAUCAAUUGUUGUCAAUUACUUAGAGUAAUCAGAAGAAUUUAAUUUUGUUGUUUUCUUCUUUCUUCCCCUGGUGUAGCAUUGUGAUAAGGCUUACAGUUCGGUAAUCGGGUUGCAGCUAGAUCAACACCAUAUCUAGUCCUUGCUUAAGGCGUCACCUGCAUAUUGGGCUCUCAAUCAAUUGUUUAGUUGAAUUCUGGACACAAAAUUGCAACUCAUUCAAGGAUGCACACUAGUCAUGAGGCUCGCAUAAAAAAGUGUUACGAUCAAUCAUAACUCGCCUUACAACAAUCCAUCUUGAUUGUGGGAUUGCUAGUAUUAAUAUAGCAUGAUCAGGACGUGUUACUGUAAUAAUCUGUACCAACCAAGAAGCGUCAAAAUUGUAGCAUCCUUGGUUCAAUGUGGAAUCUAUAGUAGCGCACAUUGCUAAUUGAAAUUAGGGUAGACUUAGAUCUGGCUUUCUUGAAUACGGUGGAAGUCUCAAACGGACGAUUCCAAUUGCAAAGUCUAGCAACGUGAAAAUCGGUGAUUCUUAUAGGUACAACAGAUUGAGUCUCAACUAGGUUUCAAACUUGAAGGCUCCAGCAUCAACAAGUCUAUAGCCAAUGGUUAUAGAGCACAGCCACAAAGAGCAUCUUGGAUAGAGAGGCAUUGAAGGAUGGAGAUGUUGGCCAUUGAGCUUUCGAUUAAGGGAACCAUAUUGAGGACAUUCAGACCAAGGAAUUGUGAGUUCUUUGUUGUACUGCAACAUCUCCAAGCUUAAGAUCUUUGGAAUCUUGUAUAAGAAUUAGAACCAAUUCAAUAAAUAAAUAAAUAGGCACAAUUAAUUAAUAUUAAGAGUGACUGAAAGACGGUUUACAAAUCAGGUUAAACUUGAAUGAAUCAGGUUAAUUUUGGAUGAGUUGUUGUAAAUGAGAAAAUAUUCUAUUGGAUGGAAAACUAUUUGGAGAUGAAUACUCAUUUAUGGAUGAUAAAUCAAUUGUAGACAAAAAAAAAAAAUCUUUGGAUGAACUUUUAACUUGGAGGAUUUUAUUUUUUACUAAAUAAAAAAUUAAAAUAAAAUAAACUAAUAUAAAAAAUUCUCUUCAAUUGUGUAUAUGGUUUUUAUUUGUGAAGUGGCUUGCAUUGUGGUUUUAGAUUUGUAUGUGUGAAUUUUAAUUAGUUAGAAAAAUUAAGUUCUUUAGUAGGAAGAAAGAAAGAAUUUUAUUCAAUUAUUCCAUAAGUUAAUUAGUAGUUGCGGAUUAGGGAUAAUCCUUUUGGCACAAAUAUUUUGGAAUUUCUU
rnacentral:lncRNA from 1 species